rnacentral:rRNA from 1 species
UACGUAGGGUGCGAGCGUUGUCCGGAAUUAUUGGGCGUAAAGAGCUCGUAGGCGGCCUGUCGCGUCGGAUGUGAAAGCCCGGGGCUUAACCCCGGGUCUGCAUUCGAUACGGGCAGGCUAGAGUGUGGUAGGGGAGAUCGGAAUUCCUGGUGUAGCGGUGAAAUGCGCAGAUAUCAGGAAGAACACCCGUGGCUAAGGCGGCUCUCUAGUACGGUACUGACGCUGAGACGCGAAAGCGUGGGGAGCGAACAGG